AGAGUUUGAUCAUGGCUCAGAUUGAACGCUGGCGGCAGGCCUAACACAUGCAAGUCGAGCGGUAACACAGAGAGCUUGCUCUCGGGUGACGAGCGGCGGACGGGUGAGUAAUGUCUGGGAAACUGCCUGAUGGAGGGGGAUAACUACUGGAAACGGUAGCUAAUACCGCAUAACGUCGCAAGACCAAAGUGGGGGACCUUCGGGCCUCAUGCCAUCAGAUGUGCCCAGAUGGGAUUAGCUAGUAGGUGGGGUAAUGGCUCACCUAGGCGACGAUCCCUAGCUGGUCUGAGAGGAUGACCAGCCACACUGGAACUGAGACACGGUCCAGACUCCUACGGGAGGCAGCAGUGGGGAAUAUUGCACAAUGGGCGCAAGCCUGAUGCAGCCAUGCCGCGUGUAUGAAGAAGGCCUUCGGGUUGUAAAGUACUUUCAGCGAGGAGGAAGGCGUUAAGGUUAAUAACCUUGGCGAUUGACGUUACUCGCAGAAGAAGCACCGGCUAACUCCGUGCCAGCAGCCGCGGUAAUACGGAGGGUGCAAGCGUUAAUCGGAAUUACUGGGCGUAAAGCGCACGCAGGCGGUCUGUCAAGUCGGAUGUGAAAUCCCCGGGCUCAACCUGGGAACUGCAUUCGAAACUGGCAGGCUAGAGUCUUGUAGAGGGGGGUAGAAUUCCAGGUGUAGCGGUGAAAUGCGUAGAGAUCUGGAGGAAUACCGGUGGCGAAGGCGGCCCCCUGGACAAAGACUGACGCUCAGGUGCGAAAGCGUGGGGAGCAAACAGGAUUAGAUACCCUGGUAGUCCACGCCGUAAACGAUGUCGACUUGGAGGUUGUGCCCUUGAGGCGUGGCUUCCGGAGCUAACGCGUUAAGUCGACCGCCUGGGGAGUACGGCCGCAAGGUUAAAACUCAAAUGAAUUGACGGGGGCCCGCACAAGCGGUGGAGCAUGUGGUUUAAUUCGAUGCAACGCGAAGAACCUUACCUACUCUUGACAUCCAGAGAACUUAGCAGAGAUGCUUCGGUGCCUUCGGGAACUCUGAGACAGGUGCUGCAUGGCUGUCGUCAGCUCGUGUUGUGAAAUGUUGGGUUAAGUCCCGCAACGAGCGCAACCCUUAUCCUUUGUUGCCAGCGAUUCGGUCGGGAACUCAAAGGAGACUGCCAGUGAUAAACUGGAGGAAGGUGGGGAUGACGUCAAGUCAUCAUGGCCCUUACGAGUAGGGCUACACACGUGCUACAAUGGCAUAUACAAAGAGAAGCGACCUCGCGAGAGCAAGCGGACCUCAUAAAGUAUGUCGUAGUCCGGAUUGGAGUCUGCAACUCGACUCCAUGAAGUCGGAAUCGCUAGUAAUCGUAGAUCAGAAUGCUACGGUGAAUACGUUCCCGGGCCUUGUACACACCGCCCGUCACACCAUGGGAGUGGGUUGCAAAAGAAGUAGGUAGCUUAACCUUCGGGAGGGCGCUUACCACUUUGUGAUUCAUGACUGGGGUGAAGUCGUAACAAGGUAACCGUAGGGGAACCUGCGGUUG
rnacentral:rRNA from 2 species